GUCGUGGAAGCCCAGAUGGAGAUCGCUUAUUGUAGAAGCUCAGAUGAAAUUCGGAAGGUGGUUGACCACUGUAGAAAUUUGGAUGGAGUCUGGUUACUGUAGAAGUCCUGCUACUGGAGAAGCCCGAAUAUUGACGAAGUCCGGAAGAAGCUCGGAGUAAAGUCGAUAGUGACAGGAGGAAGUCUGGAAGAGAUUCGAAGAAUAGUCGAUCACUGUAGAAAAUCAGCUGAUAGUAAAGUCCAGAGAGCAUUUGGAGCAAUCCGAUAGACGACUGAAGGAGCUCAUUAUUGGAGAAGUCCGGAGGGUACGAUAGGAGUUCGUCCGUUGGAGGAAUCUGGAGGACACUGUGGAAGGUCGACUGCUGGAGGAGUCCGGAUGGUACUGUGGAAGCUCAGACGGUCGGGGGAGUUUAGAAAGAUGCCGCACAAGGUCGAAAGCCGGAAGAGUCCUGGGAGGGUUGGCCUUUUACGAACUUCGGUUGGGGUUAUUUUAUACCCAACAC
rnacentral:lncRNA from 1 species